GGGAAGGCAGACAGUGGGGGAAUAUUGGACAAUGGGCGAAAGCCUGAUCCAGCCAUGCCGCGUGUGUGAAGGAAGGUCUUCGGAUUGUAAAGCACUUUAAGGUUGGGAGGAAGGGCAGUUACCUAAUACGUGAUUGUCUUGACGUUACCGACAGAAUAAGCACCGGCUAACUCUGUGCCAGCAGCCGCGGUAAUACAGAGGGUGCAAGCGUUAAUCGGAAAUUACUGGGCGUAAAGCGCGCGUAGGUGGUUUGUUAAGUUGAAUGUGAAAUCCCCGGGCUCAACCUGGGAACUGCAU
rnacentral:rRNA from 1 species